UGAACCGAGAAUAAAGAUUCAUGAGUGUUGCACGAGUCAAUACCAGAGAAGGUUGACGGUGGAGAGUAGAUGAAAUUGGUCAAAUAACUUUAUGCCUUCAAGAGGUAGGACAAACUUGUGUAAAACUAUCAGAAGUAAUACUGCUAACUUGAGGUAGAGGUGUUGUCAGCUAAGUUGGCACUUGAAUACACAUCGUUUGCAAGCAACUAUAAUGUAGUUGUCCAACAGGAAUUGCGGAUUGACUGUGCUGCCGUCAAUCCCCUAUUAAUGUUGGACAAUAUCCCAGAUAGCACAGGAAUAUUCAGAGAAUAUUCUGAGGACAUUCAUUGAUAAAUCCAGAACAUUCUCAGAAUAUUCUGAGAAUGUUCUCGGAAUAUUCUCAGAACAUUCUGAGAAAGUGUGAAUGAAACAAGUUCAGAACAUUAGGAAUAUUCUAGGAAUAUUCUGGGAAUGUUCCAUCAAAGAACAUCCGUGGGACAUUACAGAGAAGAAAAUUCCACAUAAAAAUUUCCACGGACAUUUUAUUUUUUAACGAUUGAAGAACAGGAAAUGUUCAAGAUUUUUUUUUUAAAUUUUGAUAGAAAAAAAAUUGAACAUUUUCUAUGGCAUUCAAAAAAAGGAAGGAAAUCAAGACACUUUUAAAAUUAAAUACAUUUGCGUGUUGAAUGAUCAUUUGCGACUUUGACACACAUUUAAUUUUAAAAUCAUGAUUAUUUUUCUGGUCAUUACAAAUUGUAAUAUUUUUUUUAAGAAAGAAUUGACAGUACAGGGAUUUCUCGUAACAGGGGGGAACAAAAAAUGUCGGUGGAAAUUCAUGAUUCUACGGUAAUUGAAGCUGGCAGUGGAAACUUUGAAAUAAGAUACCAUAAAAUCUAGAGAGGAAAAACGAAAGAAGUAUCUUUAUUCAAAAAUCAAAUUUAGCAAAUAAGCUGUAGGCGAUUGAGAACAGAACGCUGAUGAUAGCUUGAACUGGAGAAGUGGUCAAAUGAGAAA